CAGCACCUCAAGUGGUCAGGAUGAUUAUUGGGCCUAAAGCAUCCGUAGCCGGCUCUGUAAGUUUUCGGUUAAAUCUGUACGCUUAACGUACAGGCUGCCGGGAAUACUGCAGAGCUAGGGAGUGGGAGAGGUAGACGGUACUCGAUAGGAAGGGGUAAAAUCCUUUGAUCUAUUGAUGACCACCUGUGGCGAAGGCGGUCUACCAGAACACGUCCGACGGUGAGGGAUGAAAGCUGGGGGAGCAAACCGGAUUAGAGACCCGAGUAGUCC
rnacentral:rRNA from 1 species